GGUACCCCUGAACUUUCACUAUGCAUUUUCUACUUCGGGAACAGCUUUGUAUGUUUGAAAAGUAUUUUAUCUAACCAAGGGCAUAGAGUAGGUUGUUUAGGCUGGGGGAGAUCGCUUGUUGCUUAGUUGCUUAAUUACUGGCCUCGCUAGAAGGAAAGCUGUAUCAACAAAGUCCGGAGCUGGAAGGGGGGUUACUUGGGGGGGAGCUGGAAGGGGGGUUACUUGCUGGGCUUGCUAUACAUUUCAUCACAUCAGCAAGUUUAACCUGUUACGUAGCUAUAUAAGGCAGACGCCCACUGAGGUGUGGGUGCUUGCUUUGCGAACGAUUGCCAAGCACCACUUUCUGCGCAGAAAUAAAGAUUAAGUUGGAUCCUUCAACCCUGUGUGUUUAUUGGCACAAGCGCACCGGGCACGAACUCACCAUUGUUUGGGGACAACAAUUUCUGGCAACCCAGAUGGGAACCUAGCUGACUGCCUUGCCCGGUCCACCUCUUCGGCUCCGGCAACAACUGUGGACGGCGUGAGGGCCAGGCGCCACCGACCUUAUUCGUCGGAGGUCUGACCGUCUCCUGGUUGCCUGACGGAGUCGUGGAGGGGCACAACGGCGCAAUGCUCGAAGGACCAACUUAAUCAGGUGGGGCGAGGGAGGUUUCAACGGACUGGUAUGUCCAGGAAUGACUUCCACUCCCUCUAGAUACACCAGUCCACAAGUUCCAGAUCGGAGACAAGGUACUGGUCCAGACGCGGAAAGACGAGCCGCUUCAGCCCAGGUGGAAGGGACCGUAUCCUGUGAUUCUUACUACUCACGCUGCAGUGAAGGUUCAGGGGGUAAAACCGUGAAUACACUACAUUCGGGUGAAGGCCGGACCAGAAGUACCACCUGCAGGAGAACUUGCUGAGAGUGUCGCACUGGAAGCCGACACAAACGGACACCGUUGGACAGCAGAGCCAGUAAAAGGACUCAAAUUUCUGUUUAAAUGUCAACCAUGUGAAAAAUAGUUCUUUGUGUAGGUAUAAUGUUUCUAGAGUCUAAGGGGUUGGUGCAUCAAAAGUUCGAUAAGAGUCAAAAUGUGUGGGUUCAUUUGGCAAAGGACGUAUUAAAUGUCACUUAUCUUUGUUUGGCAGGUGAAAUAUCGGUUAAUGAUAUUUUCACGUCAUGCCUUAUAGGGGUGCCCACUCCAAUGGAAGCACUCCGGAAUCAGACUUGGUUCACAUCUGGGGGAAUAGGAGGUCCAAUCAAUUACACUAACAACUCCAUGUGGGGAACCAUUACCACAGAAAAAACAAAAA